rnacentral:lncRNA from 1 species
AUAAGAUUCCAUCGUGGCCAGAGAAGCAUGCCAGCAAUUGGAAGACAUGGUGGCAGGAGCAGGAACCUGAAAGAUCUAAGCCACAAUCACAAGGCAGGGAAGAUGUUGAGUUUCCAGUUCUGCUGUGUGUGUACCAUCCCACUCCUCAUCAUGAAUGGCUUUACCAUCACAUUUCACAUUUAUCCUGUCAAGGAACUGCUGGACCACAUGAAGAGGCUGGAUUUGUGGAACGAAAGCAACAGGACCCCCGCGGCUGAGGCAAUAGCAGGAUAUCAGUGAGGAGCCCUGGUGAGGGUCUAGUGUUGAUGGUGUAGCAGAAACCAGAGACCUUGAAUCACAUCAACGAAAAUGCAGUGAACAUUUGCAAAUAAAGCUGUUUUGGCAAAAUGUUAC